CAAGACGUAGCUAUAAUUCAAAAGCAUUCAGCUUACACCUGAAAGAUAUCUGCCACAUAUCAGAUCGUCUUGA
rnacentral:tRNA from 1 species